AAGCGCAGGAAGCGCUUCAGGAACACUUGGCAGUGGUAGAGCGCCAGCACGUACUGCAGCGCCAGGUCCAGCGCCCCUGGCGCCACCGCGACCCCCGCCCCGCCGCCCAGGCUGAGUAGUAGCGCCUGGCCCGCUAGGGUCUGCAGCCCCACGUGGGCCGAGGGGUAGAGGAGGAAAUUGAAGACGAAGGCGUUGGGACAGCGCCGCUGCUGCAGGAUGGUGUUUCCCUUCCUGUUUGCUGAUCCACUGGGGCUGUCCCAGAAAGAGAACUACAACGCUACUCUUUCCCAUGCCUUGCUUGUCCACAGGGCGUUGUGAAUGGCCCAGCAUUCCCUGUACUAAACUAAGGGCACCCAUAGGAUAUUGAAAGUUAUCAGGAUAUUCUUCCCACUCCAAGAUCCAGGAAAGUAACACAUCAAUACAGGACAAGGAGAUGCUUCAACAUCAGAAAUGCAUGGGAGAGAAGAACCCUGUGACUUGGAGAAGCUGUUACUCUGUCCUACAUUGUUCCUGUGAGAAACAAUACAUUACAAAAGAAUAGGGCUGUGUCUCAAUAAAGCUUUACUUAGGGGUAUUGAAUUUUGAAUAUCAUAUAAUUUUCAUGUGUCAUAAAUAUUAUUUUUAAAGUGUUUUUUCAACUCUUUGGAAAAAAAGUUCUUAGCUCAUCUACCAUACAAACACAGGUAGUAGGCUGGAUUUGGCCCAUGGGCUGGCCCCUGCACCAGGUGACUGAAUUGAAAAAAAUUGACAUACUGUGAUGUUGUUGUAUCUCACUCAUACAAAGGUAUUCUGGUCCUUCCCUAAAAAGAAUAUUCCCAAACUCUCACACUAAAACUAACAGCUCAGUAUAUUAAUGACUAUUUGAAAAAGUAAUUCUUUGGCAAAAUAUAAUUAAGUCAAUUUUUUUAUAUGUUUUAUACUCAUAAUCUGAUAGAAAGUUAAAUAUUUUUACCGUCCAUAUUUUCUAAGGAUACUUAAUGUAUAAUUUUUUGAUUUACAAAGGCUUAAGUCCCAAUUCGUUUGUCAUUAAACAUGUUGAAUAAUUUACAUCUAUGUAUUAAAUAACUAUAAUAAUAAGUUUGUCUGACAGCAUAAAACCAAUAUGUUGCCAGAUGUUUGACUGUUCAUGGUUGCUUUUACAUGCUCACUCUAAUUUUUAAGGAGUCUAGGAAGCUCAUUUUUGAAAAUUAUCAGGUGAGGAUGUUUUAAAAAGUCAAUAAUGAUGGCGAUAAAUUAAGAUGAAGACCCAAACCUCAUUCUUUAAUCCCUUUGGGCCUUAGUGUCUUCAACGACUGAAAAACAAAAAUGUCUGUCUCAUGAUUUCAUGGAGAUUCUUUCUAAAUGAUGACAUGCUAGAACCAUAUAAAGGAUUAUAAAGGCUAGGAUCAUUAUUUAAAUAAAAUAUCGACUUUAAAGAUCAAAAAUUGUGGGUAUAUAUGUACGCUUUUUAAGUGGUUAUUACAUGAAUUCGAAAUUUGGAAUUAAGUAUGGAAGUAGAAAUUUCUUUGAAUGCAUGUGUGUUCGCGGGUAUAUGGCAUAAGACAGAUGUGUAUAUAUUUACAAGGAGCUUUAAUUUAUAUAUUUUUAAUAGACAGUUUUAACAAAUUGGACUAAAUGUCUCUUAAAUCUGUACUUUCAUUACAGAAAAAGAUAAAAUUAUGUGAAAGAAUAUGACCCAGUUUUUCAAAUUAACAUUCAUGAGGUUUGGUGACUAAGUCUUAGCAGAACAUAUUGAAAAUGUAGCUCUGAUUGUUUACAACCUUUUCUACUACUAUGUUUUUUAAUAUCAGCAUUUAGAAAGCCCCCAAGGAUGCAUUUAUCUGCAUUAAGAGCACCUAAAAUCACACGGUUAGGUGACUGUCUUUUUUUAUUCUAAAGAUUUAUUGUCACAAAAGCAAGGCUAUGUUUUCUGCUGAUCUAAAUGAUAAAAUUAAUGCAUGCUCAUUUUUUAAAAGUUGAAAACACUGAAGGAUAAAAGGAAGACAAAAAUUCACACAUUGUCCCACUGAUCCAAACAAUAUCACAAUUAAUAUUUUGGUGAAUUUUAAAUCCAUUUAUGUUUAACCUAUUGAAAUUAAAAUUUACAUCAGUUUUGCAUACAGGCUUUUAAAAUGUAAUAUUAUGCCAUAAUCCUUUUUCAAUAUAAUCAUACAGGAUGUAUAAACAUCAUUGCAGCAUUCAGAGCUGAAUCAAGGAAGAAGAACCAUAUAUACAUAUGCACACACAUAUAUCUGGUUCUUUAUAUGAUCUAUAAAUAUAUUUAUGUAUUAUAUAAUAUACUAUAUUAUAUAUAAACCAUAUAUUUACAUUAUAUAUAAACCAUAUAUAAUAUAGUUCAACCAUAUUAUAUGUAUCUUAUAUAUUGAGAAGCCAGUUACAACGAUGUGAUCUUAUGCAAUUGAGAAAGCAGGAUAAACAGUCUAUAUGAAGCUACUGCUCUGUGUCUGAUGCAAGAGGCUGAAGUCAUCUGGGUGAGUAGUUGAGAAGGAAGGAUAGUAGUAAAGUACAGAUGGGGUAAGGGUAAGCUGGAAUCUAAUCUACAAGGAUAAGCUGGGACCUAUGAGGCAGGACUGGAUCACACACUGGUUUCUGAUGGCCUCCAAGCCUCCAACUUUGAUAACAGGGAUGACCAGGACAGAGAAGUUGACAGCCACCUCAAGCAAAACACAUUCCAGGCCCAGGAGGUGAAGCAGCUGAUGAAAGGGAACUACCAGGCACUGUAGGAGCUAUGGCCUGGCUGCUGAUCCAGGCCAACACAGGAAGCCAGCAGAUCAAGGAGGAGAAUCAGGAGCUAUGACACUUGCAGAACUCUGCUCUGUCCUUCCUCUUGAAGAAAGAAUAUGCCUUCUGUGACUUCACUUUACCUUCCAAAUCUCAAUCUCAUACAAAAUGUCUUUUUCUGGCACUCUAACUUAAAACUGUGCGGGGUAGGGAAUUCUGGGAAAUACAAAUCCUGCCUAAGUGGACACAAUUCACAAAGUUCAUCUUUAUUUUAAGGCCUAUGAACUAUUUCAUGAAGUACACAUACCAUACUCAGCAUCACUGUACCCAGCUAUUGAAUAUAUGGAAACACUAAGAUGUCUAAUAGUGUUUAUAUAUACUCUAUUAUUUUGCACGUUGUCUCUGAGGAUCGUGGUGCUUGGCAUUUGUUAAUUGAGAAAAUUGACUGAUUCUUCUGCUUUUAAACCUUCUUAACUCUCCCUUUCUUCAGGUCUCAGCUUAAGUGUGAAAGUUGAGGAGAAGUCUCUCCUGAUUCUGUAAAGUUGGUUUGUGAUCCUCCAUGGUGUUCCCAAAGCAUUAUGUAUGCAGCAUCCUUAUUUUUCAGUGUAGUUUCCUAAGUACCCGUCUGUGCCUUUUACUACCCUCUAAAUCACUUGAUGGCAAAGUAUCUUGCUUAUUGUUAAAUCUCCAGUUCUUAGGAAUGUUCUUGGCACAUAGUAAUUUAGCAAUUAAUGCUUACAAAUUAAUGAAAUUAUACCAUUAGUCAACCAAGAAGGUGCACUAUUUUCAUUUUUAUUACUUUCCCUAUUUGAAAAAUAUGCUCUGAUUUUAGUUACCUGAAUUUUCCUCAGAAAAAUUGAAUGAAAACUGCUUUCCCUUGGACUCAUAGGGUAUUUUUUCAUUACCAGUGCAUAAAAAUUACUUGAAAUGUUUUCCACUAGAGUCGCUCGAGGGGUUAAUAUCCUCUGAAAUCAAAGACAUUUCAUUAUGAUAUAACAAUGUUUUGAAAUUUUCUGUUUUGGAUUGACUAUUAAAGUUAACAAGCAAUUGUUGUAUACUAUGCUUCUGCUAAGAC
ensembl:lncRNA novel transcript